CAGUAGCCGCGGGAAUACGUAGGUGGCAAGCGUUGUCCGGAAUUAUUGGGCGUAAAGGGCUCGCAGGCGGUUUCUUAAGUCUGAUGUGAAAGCCCCCGGCUCGACCGGGGAGGGUCAUUGGAAACUGGGAAACUUGAGUGCAGAAGAGGAGAGUGGAAUUCCACGUGUAGCGGUGAAAUGCGUAGAGAUGUGGAGGAACACCAGUGGCGAAGGCGACUCUCUGGUCUGUAACUGACGCUGAGGAGCGAAAGCGUGGGGAGCGAACAGGAUUAGAUACCCGCGUAGUCCCUGUCUCUUAUAC
rnacentral:rRNA from 1 species